rnacentral:rRNA from 1 species
UACGUAGGGAGCAAGCGUUGUCCGGAAUCAUUGGGCGUAAAGCGCGCGUAGGCGGCCCUGUAAGUCCGUUGUGAAAGUCAAAGGCUCAACCUUUGAAAGCCGAUGGAUACUGCAGGGCUAGAGUCCGGAAGAGGCGAGUGGAAUUCCUGGUGUAGCGGUGGAAUGCGCAGAUAUCAGGAGGAACACCAAUAGCGAAGGCAGCGCGCUGGGACGGUACUGACGCUAAGGCGCGAAAGCGGGGGGAGCAAACGGG